UGUGGGAGGGGGCUUGCUCCCGAUAGCGGUGUGUCAGCUAGCAUAUUCUUCACUGACCCACGGCUAUCGGGGGCAAGCCCCCUCCCACA
rnacentral:misc_RNA from 1 species